rnacentral:rRNA from 1 species
CGCGUAGGCGGACAGUUAAGUCAGAGGUAAAAGCCCAGGGCUCAACCUUGGAACCGCCUUUGAUACUGGCUGUCUUGAGUUCGGGAGAGGUGUGUGGAACUCCGAGUGUAGAGGUGAAAUUCGUAGAUAUUCGGAAGAACACCAGUGGCGAAGGCGACACACUGGCCCGAUACUGACGCUGAGGCGCGAAAGCGUGGGGAGCAAACAGGAUUAGAUACCCUGGUAGUCCACGCUGUAAACGAUGAGUGCUAGUUGUCGGCAUGCAUGCAUGUCGGUGACGCAGCUAACGCAUUAAGCACUCCGCCUGGGGAGUACGGUCGCAAGAUUAAA